UUCCAGGCCGGGCACGGUGGCUUAUGCCUAUAAUCCCAGCACUCUGGAAGGCCGAAGUGGGUGGAUUACCUGAGGUCAAGAGUUCGAGACAAGCCUGGCCAACAUGGUGAAACCCCUUCUCUACCAAAAAGGGGAGUGGCAGAGUUGCAGUAAGCCAGCUAUAAACACUGACAAAGAUCCUCUAGAGACCAACAACCUGCCAAUGAACAGCAACAACACAAAAAUGCCCCGCAGCCUUCAUGGGAUUAUUAUGAAGAAUGAGAGCAAGUGCUUUGUCAAGUGCCACACUACUGAGAAAUUGCGGAGGAUGAGUUAAGGGUGUGAUCAUUUUAUAAUAUGCAAUUAUAAAAUGGCAUGUGAAGGGCACUUUUCCUAUUUAAUAGCACAUCUGCUAUUAAAGCGGUGAUUAUAAAAGAUAAAACAUACUGUGUACCUUAUCUGAUCUACUGUUACACAGGAGAGUAUUUCAAGUCUUUAAUUAUAUAAUGUAAGUUCCCUGAAGAGAUUAA